ACUCCGUCCACUGCAUAUCAUUCCUGCAGAAAGGGCAAUGAUAUUUAGUGGCACGGAGUGA
rnacentral:pre_miRNA from 1 species